GAUGAACGCUAGCGGCAGGCUUAAUACAUGCAAGUCGAGGGGCAGCGCGGGGUAGCAGUACUCUGGCGGCGACCGGCAAACGGGUGCGGAACACGUACAGAACCUUCCUUCGAGCGGGGAAUAGCCCAGAGAAAUUUGGAUUAAUACCCCAUAGUAUGGCGGAGUGGCAUCACUCUGUUAUUAAAGAUUUAUCACUUGAAGAUGGCUGUGCGGCUGAUUAGGUAGUUGGCGGGGUAACGGCCCACCAAGCCUGCGAUCAGUAACUGGUGUGAGAGCACGACCAGUCACACGGGCACUGAGACACGGGCCCGACUCCUACGGGAGGCAGCAGUAAGGAAUAUUGGUCAAUGGACGAAAGUCUGAACCAGCCAUGCCGCGUGAAGGAUGAAGGUCCUCUGGAUUGUAAACUUCUUUUAUAUGGGACGAAAAAAGGCUUUUCUAAGUCGUCUGACGGCACCAUUUGAAUAAGCACCGGCUAACUCCGUGCCAGCCGCCGCGGUAAUAC
rnacentral:rRNA from 1 species